UUUUUUUUUUUGAGAUGGAGUUUUGCUCUUAUUGCCAAGGCUGGAGUGCAGUGGUGUGAUCUUGGCUCACUGCAACCUCCACCUCCCAGAUUCAAGCGAUUCUCCUGCCUCAGCCUCCGGAGUAGCUGGGAUUACAGGCGCCCGCCACCACACCUGGCUAAUUUUUGUGUUUUUAUAGAGACAGGGUUUCACCGUGUUAGCCAGGAUGGUCUCGAUCUCCUGACCUUGUGAUCCGCCUGCCUCGGCCUCCCAUAGUGCUGGGAUUACAGGUGUGAGCCACCGUGCCCAGCCUGAAUUGAAGUUUUAAAAGUGCUGUCAUCCCUUUUUUCAAAUGUCACAUUAGCCUCACCCUGCAUGCUAGGAGAUGGACCUGUCUCUAUACAGCAGUAGAUGAUUGAUAAGUGAGGAAACUGAGGCUUACAGAGGUUGAAGACCAACAAGCUAAUAAAUAAAAAGUUGAGGCCGGGCACGGUGGCUCACGCCUGUAAUCCCAGCACUUUGGAAGGCCGAGGCAGGCGGAUCACGAGGUCAGGAGAUCGAGACCAUCCUGGCUAACACGGUGAAACCCCGUCUCUACAUAAAAAAUUAGCUGGGUGUGGUAGCACGCACCUGUAGUCCCAGCUACUUGGGAGGCUGAAGCAGGAGAAUCGCUUGAACCUGGGAGGUGGAGGUUGCAGUGAGCCGAGAUCAUGCCACUGCACUGGGCAACAGAGCAAAACUCGAUCUCAAAAAAAAAAAAAAAAAAAAGGAAAAAAAAGCAGCUCUCUCUCUCGGGAGAGGGAGGGGACUUCCGAGAGGAAAAGGCCUGCAAGAGCCUUUGGGUUAACUGAGAAAGCACAGCCCGGCCAACGCUUGGGAAGAAAGACAGGCAAGCACUGGAAACAGGAGCUAUUAGGGUGAGGAGAGAGCCUUGCCUUUCACAGCACAGUGAGGAUGACAUUGCACCAGGGACAGAGAUUGUAUGUGACAAGGCUGGGGCUCCUUCUUUCCUAGACAAUCAAAGUAUCAGUGAUGGGUUUUGGUUGGUGAUUU
rnacentral:lncRNA from 10 species